GGCCAGAUGGCGCAACGGUAGCACGUGCGAGAUUGGGGGGGAUGUUUGUUCGCGAGGUCUUCGUUCGAUUCGGAGUCUGGCCA